GGCACUGUGGCGGAGUGGUUAUCGCGUCAGCCUAGAAAGCUGAUCCUUCGGGGGCCUGAGUUCGAAUCUCAGCGGUGUCG
rnacentral:tRNA from 1 species